rnacentral:lncRNA from 1 species
AUGAGGCUGAAGAGCAAAGCGAUGGGAUGCAGCCAAGGAGUCAGCUGGAAGCUGCUGCUGCUGCUACUGGGGAGCCCUGCUGGGGGCAACGGCAAACCACCCGCUUCUCCUCCUCCAGCUGUUGCGGCUGCUGCUUCCUCCUCCGCCGCCACUACCUCCUUCUCCUCCAGAUUGCAGCCGAUCUCCCCCCGGACCAACCUGACCACCAGAGCCAGCAAGAAGGACAGGGAUCCGGCGCAGAGAGCCGAGGAAAGUUUCCGGGAGCUCCAGAUUUUCUGCAGCACCAGGUCUCCCCAGCAGAGCUGGUGGUCAAUUUUACCAUUACUGGCAGCUCUCACUCUCAAGAACACAAAGCUAUGGGAUUUCAGACUCAAAAAGAUUUUUAACAGAUUUGAGCACACAUCAGGUAAUUAAAAGAUGGCUACACAUUUCAUCUGCUAACUCAUGGCCAGGCAUUCUGAACAGAUUAGUCAAUCAGCUUAAAUCCUCAUACCGUGUUGAUGCACAGGUUUUGAGACUAACACACACUCUGGUGGUUCACAAAUAGGAGCGGUACCAGAAACUUCUUUGAUGAUUGAGCCAGAAGGAGCUCUGCUAUACCUCCUUUAGCUGUUCGAAAUCAUGGUUGUAUCUGGUGAUAGCAAGACACUUUUUUGCAGACACCCCAGAUAUUAGCAUAUUAAUAGCUGUAACUAAACUGAGAGUUAAACAGACACAAAUUGGGGUUCUGUCUUGCGAAUUAUCCAUGCAUAAAACUCCCAAUGACUUCAGUGGCAAUAGCGGCACAUUCAGAAUUGGGCCUAUGAUGCUGACUAGAGCUGUGCCAACCCUGUAUAAUAAAACCCAGAACUAGGUGGCUUGAAACCCA